UACGGGGGGGGGCAAGCGUUGUUCGGAAUUCCUGGGCGUAAAGGGCUCGUAGGUGGCCAACUAAGUCAGACGUGAAAUCCCUCGGCUUAACCGGGGAACUGCGUCUGAUACUGGAUGGCUUGAGUUCGGGAGAGGGAUGCGGAAUUCCAGGUGUAGCGGUGAAAUGCGUAGAUAUCUGGAGGAACACCGGUGGCGAAGGCGGCAUCCUGGACCGACACUGACGCUGAGGAGCGAAAGCCAGGGGAGCAAACGGG
rnacentral:rRNA from 1 species